UCUGGCACUCCCUAGUGAGAUGAACCCGGUACCUCAGAUGGAAAUGCAGAAAUCACCGUCUUCUGCGUCGCUCACGCUGGGAGCUGUAGACCGGAGCUCGAGAACUACUUUUUAAUUAGGGCUUGGGAUUAGCCAUUGCCAUAGAAUGGAGUGAAUAACAGAGAAGAGAAACUGUGACUAAUUUAAGAGUGAUAAUCAUACAAUUGCAAUUUGGAGAAGAUUGACCUGAAAGAACUGCAGAGGAAGCAUGCUCUUUGUGUAAGAAAUCCUUAAAUUCCACACAAAAUCUAUAUAGUCUUCCUGGACAUGAUGCAUAAGGAAAUCCUAAGACUGCAUGCCGAGUUUAACCAAUUAAACUGGAAUAAACUGGAAUGAAUUUGCAUUUGGGAAGUAAAACACUAUCCAAGGGGCAUAAGAACAGCUGGGCUCCUACUGAAGGAGACACAUAUGGUGUUCAUUGUGGGGUUUUGCUUCUUAUUCCCUUUGAGUAAGAAUAAAAUGAUCUUAUUUUUUGCUCUUCAAAAAUCUUCUCUGGUUAUUUUUCUGGUGUCAUUGGCUGGCAUAUUCCGAUCCAUAGGAAGAAGAAGGGAGCAGAGAUGAAGUCUUCCUCUCCUACUGCCUCUGGGCAGAGGUGAAGAACUUUUGAAGGCAUGCACCAUGGGGUUAUGAGACCCACUCAGCUAGACAUAUGUUUUGGAAGAUAUGUGUGUUACAGCAGCUUCUUAGGACACUCUGGUCUGCCUCAUGCAAGCUGUCUACUCAGACCUUCUUAUCUCCAUGAGGACUGUGAACUCGGAGUGGGAAAAGGGAUCUGUAAACCAGAGGUCUCCUCCGCUCCAGGAGCUCUCAGUCUUCUGAAGGACAAAUGUCAUGACCACAUCGGCAUGAAAGGUGGAUGAGACUGAGAAGUACAUCAGAGACACUUAAUCAGGAUGGUGAAAGAAGAGAAUGAUUGGAAUUGGAGCAGAAACACCUCACCCCCUGCUCUCCUGGCCAGCCGGUGGGGAGCAGGGGCAGGGAGCAGAGAUUGGUGGUGGAGCCAUUUUGAAAACAUAACUGUUUUCAAACAGUUCAAACAUGAAAUUUUUCAGAAAGCAACAGUGUCAUUGAACUACAGGGUCACAGAGCCGCCUCCCGGUGGAACGCUGAUUAGAUGGCCUUCCCUGACGUACAUUCAGUAAAUGAGUGGAUGACAGCCAACUCCUCAUCACCCAGCCACAGCGGACCUGGUGAUCCUGGUGAACGUGUUCACAGGAAGUAGAGCCAAUCACUGCAUGGCUGGUGUGGGUCUGCGGCACACAGAGCACUUGGCUGAUUUUAUUUCAGACAUCCUCUCAACUGAUACCCUCUUGCCAAAGGAAGAAAGCAUUACUGCAGAUAACACAAAAUGGAUCUCAUCCAGAAUCCCACAUUACAUUAAAUCAUCACGUCUCCUUAGUCUCCUCCAACCUUCUCAGUCUUUCCUUGUUUAUCGGCACCCUGGAAGUUUUGAGUGCUGGCCAGGUAGGAUUUGCUCUGGGGCAAGUCAGCUGCUGUGUUGUGAAGACACUCCAAGACAACUGUGGAGGGGACCCACCCUGCCAGCCACGUGAAUGAGACUCCCUGGAAGCAGAUCUUCCAGCCCCAGUUGAGCCUUCAAGUGACCACAGCCCUGACACGUCUGACUGAUCCUCAUGAGAAAUCUCAAGCUAGAGCUAUCAGUCCACCUGUUUCCAAAGUCCUGGCCCGCAGAAACUGUGACAGAAAAGAAGUGCUUAUUAUUUAUAUAAGUUACUAAAUUUGGGGAUAAUUUGUUACACAGCAAUUAGAUAAUGAAUACAGAAACACUCAGAAAAGUAUUCGAAAAAACAAAACUUCAAAUUUUACAAUUCCAAAAUAAACUCAUUAUAACUUGAAUAUAAUCCCUUCUUUUAAUGCUUAACCGUACUUAAACUAUGUCUUUGUAUAAUUUAAAAAAAUAAAACUGGGAUCAUAAUUUAUUUCACUUUUAUAUACUGACAUUUUCCCCACUUAGUGUGUAAAUAAAUUGUAGAUAAUUUAUCCAUGUUAUUAGAAAAUUCUUCAGAAAUGUAAGUUUAAUGGUUCUAUAAUAUACUAAAUGGAUAGUCCACAAUUCAGCCAAAUCGUUGGACAUUUAAAUUGUGUGAAUUUGUGCUGUUAUAAAUAUUACCACAAAAAAUACCUUUGAAAGGGACAAUACAGGAAACUGCUGGGAGCACAGGUUGGAAGCUCGUUUUGUGUAGGCAUGUUCUAAUUCUGCCCCUCCCUAGCUCUACGGCUUUGAGCAAGUUCCUUGGUAUCUGUGCCUUGUUUUCCUCUCCUAUAAAAUAAGGAAUGAAGUACCCUUGCUGGUAUUUACUAUUAUUUUUUGUGGUAAAAUUUACAUGACAUUUACCAUUUUAACCCUUUUUAAGUGUACAAUUUAGUGGUAUUAAGUACAUUUUCAUUGUUAUAUAACCAUCACCACCAUCCAUAUUAAAACUCUUUCAUCAUUCCAGACUGAAACUCUAUACCCAUUAAAUAGUAACUCCUCAUUCUCUCCUCUGCCCAGCCCCUGGUAACCACUAUUUUACUUUCUGUCUUUAUGAAUAUGACUAAUUUGAGUACACUAUUUGUCCUUUUUGAUCUAGC
rnacentral:lncRNA from 1 species